rnacentral:rRNA from 1 species
GACAGAGGGUGCAAACGUUGUUCGGAAUUACUGGGCGUAAAGCGCGUGUAGGCGGCCCUGCAAGUCGGAUGUGAAAUCCCACGGCUCAACCGUGGAAGUGCAUUCGAAACUGCAGGGCUAGAGUCCUGGAGAGGAAGGUGGAAUUCCUGGUGUAGCGGUGAAAUGCGCAGAUAUCAGGAGGAACACCGGUGGCGGAAGGCGGGUCUCUGGGCCGGUAACUGACGCUGAGGAGCGAAAGCGUGGGGAGCGAACAGG